AAUCUGGGAGCCACUGGCGGCCGGCUCCGCGCCUCGUUGCCGGGUGCAGCGCAGCUCAGCGCAGUGCAACACGACUGCCUUUCUGCAGCAGAGUGGUGGGGUCUGUUCAGGACAAAGGUGUGAGCAGACUACAGGGCUGGCUGGUUCAUCAUGGCGGAGAAAGUGAACAACUUCCCACUGCUGCCCAAAUUCAUUCUGCUGAAGCCAUGUUUCUACUAAGAUUUCGAGGCAGAUACUCCUCCUCAGCAUCGCAGCUUGACCAAGCGUCUAUAUUACCUGUGGAUGUGGACGGACAGCUCCUUUAGCUUCAUGGCCUUCUUCUUCACCUUCAUGGCCCAACUGGUCAUUAGCAUCAUCCAGGCUGUGGGGAUUCUAGGCUGGGGUGUCUGUGCCUGGAUCGCCACCAUCUCCUUCUUCGGGACAAACAUUGGCUCGGCAGUGGUGAUGCUCAUUCCCACGGUCAUGUUUACAGUGGUGGCUGUCUUUUCCUUCAUCACCCUUAACAUGGUUCAUAAGUUCUACCGGGGCAGCGGGGGCAGUUUCAGUAAAGCUCAGGAGGAGUGGACCACUGGCGCAUGGAAGAACCCACAUGUGCAGCAGGCAGCCCAGAAUGCAGCCAUGGGGGCUGCACAGGGUGCCAUGAAUCAACCGCAGACUCAAUAUUCUGCCACCCCCAACUACACAUACUCUAACCGAGAUGUGAGCCAGUUAAGCCCACCAGAAGGCAGGGCUGGGGGCCAGUGGGACAGGGGGCUCAAGCCACAUCAUCUGUGUGGUGACCAAGCAGGGUUCCCCUUUCCCUUUUCUCCUUCCCAACUUUGUACAAAGAAUCAUAUAUAUAUAUAUAUGUGUGUAUCCUCCUUUAGCUACUCCGUGUUUCCUGUGGUGCUGGGCCAUGUUAACUGUAAGGGCACUGCGGGAACAGAGGUUUAUGUAAACCUGGAUAAACGCAAUGAGCAGUAA